rnacentral:rRNA from 1 species
GACGAACGCUGGCGGCGUGCUUAACACAUGCAAGUCGAACGAGUGGCGAACGGGUGAGUAACACGUGGGUGAUCUGCCUUGCACUUCGGGAUAAGCUUGGGAAACUGGGUCUAAUACCGGAUAGUGCAAGAUGAGCUCGCGGCCUAUCAGAUUGUUGGUGGGGUAAUGGCUACCAAGGCGCGACAGGUAGCCGGCCUGGGAGGGUGUACGGCCACAUUGGGACGGGGAUACGGACCAGACUGCUACGGGAGGGAGAAAUGGGGAAUAGUGCACAAGGGGCGGAAGCCGGAUGCAGCGACGCCGCGUGGGGAUGAAGACCUUCGGGUUGUAAACUCCUUUCGACAGGGACGCGGUACCUGUAUAAGAAGCACCGGCUAACUACGUGCCAGCAGCCGCGGUAAUAC